rnacentral:rRNA from 1 species
GCUAGCUACAGGCUUAACACAUGCAAGUCGAGGGGCAGCAUGGUCUUAGCUUGCUAAGGCUGAUGGCGACCGGCGCACGGGUGAGUAACACGUAUCCAACCUGCCGUCUACUCUUGGCCAGCCUUCUGAAAGGAAGAUUAAUCCAGGAUGGGAUCAUGAGUUCACAUGUCCGCAUGAUUAAAGGUAUUUUCCGGUAGACGAUGGGGAUGCGUUCCAUUAGAUAGUAGGCGGGGUAACGGCCCACCUAGUCAACGAUGGAUAGGGGUUCUGAGAGGAAGGUCCCCCACAUUGGAACUGAGACACGGUCCAAACUCCUACGGGAGGCAGCAGUGAGGAAUAUUGGUCAAUGGGCGAUGGCCUGAACCAGCCAAGUAGCGUGAAGGAUGACGG